ensembl:lncRNA
AUGGCCAUGGGCCCACCCUGCACAUCACAGCACUGCUUAAAGUCAGAGAAACGAAGUUGUGAACUACUGACUGAAGAGCAUAGAACAGAUAUCUUCAACAAUUUCUGGUCCAUGCCUUUCUGGGAGACACGCAAGCUGUAUAUCCAGACUCUAGUCCAAAAUGUGCCCAUAAAACAGAAGAAAGGUGGUGUUGCAUCAAGGAGAACAACGUCCCUAUUAUACCACCUGCAACUGGCAGAUAGACGUAAACUACCUGUGUGUAAGAAUCUUUUCUGUUCAACACUUGGCAUCGCCCCCAGAACCAUCGGAUCAUGGUUAAAAUCCAAAACUGAUCUGUGUAAACCCAAGAUCAACAAGACUGGCCCAUGUGUGCCCAUAUCAGAUGUUGACCAGACCUUCCUGAAAGAAUGGCUCUCUGGACUGCCUACAGUCCCAUCCCAUUACUGCCGUCAGGUUCCCUCCUAUCAGGAAAAGAAGUUCCUGGAGCCGGGAACAGUUCUAAGUGAUCUUCACAAGGAAUAUCAGAAAGCUGCUGGUGAAAAUGGAGCGCGUGCUGUGAGUGAGACAUAUUUUCGAAAUGUGUUCAGUGAGCAUGAGCGGCGCAUCAUCAAAGAUAUUCACACUCCACGUGAUUACAUUGUCAUCUUUGAGACUGCACGAAUACAUCCAUCCCCAUACAAGGUGAACCAGCUAUACCACAAUGACUUCAUGAAGUUAUCUGGGGCCUACGUCACCAAUAUUCGACCAGGUAAAAAAGUUGGUGACCCCACAGUCCAUGGCCUCCGGGCUCUCCAGUACUUGGCUGAUGGUCGAAUCCGGUACAAGUUGGAUUUUGAGUCUGAAUGGGAGGACCUGCCUCAGCGAAUCAACAUCCCCAAAGAACCAUUCCACUGGGUCCCACUCUUUCCUGCCCAACUGCCAAUUACUCUCAGGAAAUUCAAUGACUUGCAGGCAAUGAAACCAGUACUACCAAGAGUAGCCCACCAGUACUAUGACAACCUCCCUCAUCAAUAG